AUGUAGGCAAUCUGUCUUUAAGUAGGGGUAAAUUACUCUUUAAAAAUAAAAGAAUCCUAGAUAGUUUUCCCUUCAAGUCAAGCGUCUUGU
rnacentral:pre_miRNA from 1 species